GAGCCUUGAUGUGUAGGAUAGGUGGGAGGCUUUGAAGUGUGGACGCCAGUCUGCAUGGAGCCGACCUUGAAAUACCACCCUUUAAUGUUUGAUGUUCUAACGUUGACCCGUAAUCCGGGUUGCGGACAGUGUCUGGUGGGUAGUUUGACUGGGGCGGUCUCCUCCUAAAGAGUAACGGAGGAGCACGAAGGUUGGCUAAUCCUGGUCGGACAUCAGGAGGUUA
rnacentral:rRNA from 1 species